rnacentral:rRNA from 1 species
ACGGGGGGAGCAAGCGUUGUUCGGAUUUACUGGGCGUAAAGGGCGCGUAGGCGGCCUCCGCAAGUCAGUUGUGAAAUCUCCGAGCUUAACUCGGAAAGGUCAACUGAUACUGCGGGGCUAGAGUGCGGAAGGGGCAACUGGAAUUCUUGGUGUAGCGGUGAAAUGCGUAGAUAUCAAGAGGAACACCUGCGGCGAAGGCGGGUCCCUGGACAACACCUGACACUGAGGCACGAAAGCCGGGGGAGCAAACAGGA